rnacentral:rRNA from 1 species
AUUGAACGCUGGCGGAAUGCUUUACACAUGCAAGUCGAACGGUAACAGGUUAAGCUGACGAGUGGCGAACGGGUGAGUAAUACAUCGGAACGUGCCCAGUCGUGGGGGAUAACGUAGAGAAAUUUACGCUAAUACCGCAUACGAUCUAAGGAUGAAAGCGGGGGACCGUAAGGCCUCGCGCGAUUGGAGCGGCCGAUGUCAGAUUAGGUGGUUGGUGGGGUAAAGGCCUACCAAGCCGACGAUCUGUAGCUGGUCUGAGAGGACGACCAGCCACAAUGGGACUGAGACACGGCACAGAAUCCUACGGGAGGCAGCAGUGGGGAAUUUUGGACAAUGGGCGCAAGCCUGAUCCAGCCAUUCCGCGUGCAGGAUGAAGGUCCUCGGGUUGUAAACUGCUUUUGUACAGAACGAAAAGGUCUGGGUUAAUACCCUGGGCUCAUGACGGUACUGUAAGAAUAAGCACCGGCUAACUACGUGCCAGCCGCCGCUGUAA